AGUGAACGCUGGCGGUAGGCCUAACACAUGCAAGUCGAACGGCAGCACAGUAAGAGCUUGCUCUUACGGGUGGCGAGUGGCGGACGGGUGAGGAAUACAUCGGAAUCUACUUUUUCGUGGGGGAUAACGUAGGGAAACUUACGCUAAUACCGCAUACGACCUACGGGUGAAAGCAGGGGAUCUUCGGACCUUGCGCGAUUGAAUGAGCCGAUGUCGGAUUAGCUAGUUGGCGGGGUAAAGGCCCACCAAGGCGACGAUCCGUAGCUGGUCUGAGAGGAUGAUCAGCCACACUGGAACUGAGACACGGUCCAGACUCCUACGGGAGGCAGCAGUGGGGAAUAUUGGGCAAUGGGCGCAAGCCUGAUCCAGCCAUACCGCGUGGGUGAAGAAGGCCUUCGGGUUGUAAAGCCCUUUUGUUGGGAAAGAAAAGCAGCAGGUUAAUACCCCGCUGUUCUGACGGUACCCAAAGAAUAAGCACCGGCUAACUUCGCG
rnacentral:rRNA from 1 species